GACGAACGCUGGCGGCGUGCUUAACACAUGCAAGUCGAACGGAAAGGCCCUGCUUGCAGGGUACUCGAGUGGCGAACGGGUGAGUAACACGUGGGUGAUCUGCCCUGCACUUCGGGAUAAGCCUGGGAAACUGGGUCUAAUACCGGAUAGGAGCCAUUUUUAGUGUGAUGGUUGGAAAGUUUUUUCGGUGUAGGAUGAGCUGGCGGCCUAUCAGUUUGUUGGUGGGGUAUGUGCCUACGAAGUCGGCAAGGGGUAGCUCGCCUGAGGGCGUGGCUGGCCACAUUGGGACGGAGAUGACGCCCAGCCUCCGCCGGGGGGAGGGAGGGGGGAAGAUUGCGCAAUGGCCUGAAGCCUGAUGCAGGCACGGCGCGUGGGGGAUGUCUGCCUUCGGAUUUAAAACCGCUGUCGCCUGUGACGAAGCGGGAGUGACGGUAAUGGGUAAAGAAGCAACGGCUAACUACGUG
rnacentral:rRNA from 1 species